rnacentral:rRNA from 1 species
UACGUAGGGUGCAAGCGUUGUCCGGAAUUAUUGGGCGUAAAGAGCUCGUAGGCGGUUUGUCGCGUCGUUCGUGAAAACCCACGGCUUAACUGUGGGCUUGCGGUCGAUACGGGCAGGCUAGAGUUCGGUAGGGGAGACUGGAAUUCCUGGUGUAGCGGUGAAAUGCGCAGAUAUCAGGAGGAACACCGGUGGCGAAGGCGGGUCUCUGGGCCGAUACUGACGCUGAGGAGCGAAAGCGUGGGGAGCGAACAGG